rnacentral:rRNA from 1 species
UGAGGAAUAUUGGUCAAUGGGCGCAAGCCUGAACCAGCCAUCCCGCGUGAAGGAUGAAUGCCUUAUGGGUUGUAAACUUCUUUUGUACCUGAAGAAACUCUGGGUCGUGACCUGGACUGCCGGUAGGGUACGAAUAAGCAUCGGCUAACUCCGUGCCAGCAGCCGCGGUAAUACGGAGGAUGCAAGCGUUAUCCGGAUUUAUUGGGUUUAAAGGGUGCGCAGGUGGUUAAAUAAGUCAGUGGUGAAAGUCUGCCGCUUAACGGUAGGAUUGCCAUUGAUACUGUUUAACUUGAGUUUAGGUGAGGUAGGCGGAAUGUGUAGUGUAGCGGUGAAAUGCAUAGAUAUUACACAGAACACCGAUUGCGAAGGCAGCUUACUAAUCUACAACUGACACUGAGGC